rnacentral:rRNA from 1 species
GAUGAACGCUGGCGGCGUGCCUAAUACAUGCCAGUCGAGCGAACAGACGAGGAGCUUGCUCCUCUGACGUUAGCGGCGGACGGGUGAGUAACACGUGGAUAACCUACCUAUAAGACUGGGAUAACUUCGGGAAACCGGAGCUAAUACCGGAUAAUAUAUUGAACCGCAGGGUUCAAGAGUGAAAGACGGUUUUGCUGUCACUUAUAGAUGGACCCGCUCCGCAUUAGCUAUUUGGUAAGGUAACGGCUUACCAAGGCAACGAUGCGUAGCCGACCUGAGAGGGUGUUAGGCCACCUGGGACUUGGACACCGUUCCGACCCCCUCGGGAGGCAGCAGUAGGGAAUCUUCCGCAAUGGGCGAAAGCCUGACGGAGCAACGCCGCGUGGGUGAUGAAGGUCUUCGGAUCGUAAAACUCUGUUAUUAGGGAAGAACAACUGUGUAAGUAACUAUGCACGUCUUGACGGUACCUAAUGAGAAAGCCACGGCUAACUUCGUG